UAAUGUCUGGGAAACUGCCUGAUGGAGGGGGAUGACUGCUGGAAACGGUAGCUAAUACCGCAUAACGUCGCAAGACCAAAGUGGGGGACCUUCGGGCCUCAUGCCAUAAGAUGUGCCCAGAUGGGAUUAGCUAGUAGGUGGGGUAACGGCUCACCUAGGCGACGAUCCCUAGCUGGUCUGAGAGGAUGGCCAGCCACACUGGAACUGAGACACGGUCCAG
rnacentral:rRNA from 1 species